UAGUCAGUGGCGACCAGCGUGCAC
rnacentral:misc_RNA from 1 species